rnacentral:tRNA from 1 species
GGCGGGAUAAUGUAGUGGUUAAAGGCAUGGGCUCUAGAGCCAGACUUCCUGGGUUCAAAUCUCAGACCUGCUA